rnacentral:tRNA from 2 species
GGCGGGGUAGCUCAGUCUGGCAGAGCAAGCGGCUCAUAAUCGCUGUGUCGCCGGUUCAAAUCCGGCCCUCGCUA